GGGUGCCCAUGGCAAAGACGGAUCUCCAGGAGCAGCAGGCCCACCUGGUCCCCCAGGCCCCCCUGGAACUGCAGGAUUUCCAGGCUCUCCAGGUUUUAAGGGUGAAGCUGGUCCUCCUGGUCCUGCUGGUUCUAGUGGUAGUCCUGGAGAGAGAGGAGAACCUGGUCCUCAGGGUAAUGCUGGGCCACCUGGGCCUCAGGGCCCUCCUGGAAGGGCUGGAA
rnacentral:lncRNA from 1 species